rnacentral:hammerhead_ribozyme from 1 species
CGACUGCUGAGGAGUCCCACAAUAGGACAAAACGGUCGUCUAGUAC